rnacentral:rRNA from 1 species
GAUGAACGCUGGCGGCGUGCUUAACACAUGCAAGUCGAACGAUGAAAGCGAGAGCUUGCUCUUGCUGGAUUAGUGGCGAACGGGUGAGUAACACGUGAGCAAUCUGCCCCGAACUCUGGGAUAAGCGUUGGAAACGACGUCUAAUACCGGAUACGACGCGCGAAGGCAUCUUCUGCGCGUGGAAAGAAUUUCGGUUCGGGAUGAGCUCGCGGCCUAUCAGCUAGUUGGUGAGGUAACGGCUCACCAAGGCGACGACGGGUAGCCGGCCUGAGAGGGUGACCGGCCACACUGGGACUGAGACACUGCCCAGACUCCUACGGGAGGCAGCAGUGGGGAAUAUUGCACAAUGGGCGAAAGCCUGAUGCAGCAACGCCGCGUGAGGGACGACGGCCUUCGGGUUGUAAACCUCUUUUAGUAGGGAAGAAGCGAAAGUGACGGUACCUGCAGAAAAAGCACCGGCUAACUACGUGCCAGCAGCCGCCGUAAAAC